rnacentral:rRNA from 1 species
AGAGUUUGAUCAUGGCUCAGAGCGAACGCUGGCGGCGUGCUUAACACAUGCAAGUCGAACGCGCAGCGCCGUGUAGCAAUACAUGGUGUGGGCGCGUGGCGAACGGGUGCGUAACACGUGGAUAACCUUCCUUCAGGUGGGGAAUAACCCAGUGAAAAUUGGGCUAAUACCGCAUAACAAGACGAGGGCACAUGCUCUUGCCUUCAAAGCCGCAAGGCGCCAGAAGAGGGAUCCGCGGCCGAUUAGCUUGUUGGCGAGGUAAUGGCUCACCAAGGCAAUGAUCGGUAGCCGGACUGAGAGGUUGGCCGGCCACACUGGAACUGAGACACGGUCCAGACUCCUACGGGAGGCAGCAGUGGGGAAUCUUGCACAAUGGGCGAAAGCCUGAUGCAGCAACGCCGCGUGGGGGAUGAAGCUUCUCGGAGUGUAAACCCCUUUCGACCCGGAAGAAAGUCCGCAAGGAUUUGACGGUACGGGUAUAAGAAGCCCCGGCUAACUACGUGCCAGCAGCCGCGGUAAUACGUAGGGGGCCAGCGUUGCUCGGAAUUACUGGGCGUAAAGGGUCCGUAGGCGGUGUGGCAAGUCGGGAGUGAAAUCUCUGGGCUUAACCCAGAGGCUGCUUCCGAAACUGCCGUGCUAGAGUGUGAGAGAGGCGAGUGGAAUUGCGGGUGUAGCGGUGAAAUGCGUAGAUAUCCGCAGGAACAUCCGAGGCGAAAGCGGCUCGCUGGAUCACAACUGACGCUGAGGGACGAAAGCUAGGGGAGCAAACAGGAUUAGAUACCCUGGUAGUCCUAGCCCUAAACCAUCAGACUUGGGGUUUGCCCUGUACGGGGCAAGUCCCGUAGCUAACGCGUUAAGUCCUGCGCCUGGGGAGUACGUCGCAGACUGAAACUCAAAGGAAUUGACGGGGCCCGCACAAGCGGUGGAACAUGUGGUUCAAUUCGACGCAACGCGAAGAACCUUACCUGGGCUUGA